rnacentral:SRP_RNA from 1 species
GAGUCGGGUCCUUCGCAAUGAGCACCAGUGAACCCGGUCAGGUCCGGAAGGAAGCAGCCGUAAGCAGGACCGCCCAUGUGCCGAGGGGUUGCCUAACUUGAGC